AGUGAACGCUGGCGGCAUGCCUAACACAUGCAAGUCGAACGGCAGCACAGUAAGAGCUUGCUCUUACGGGUGUCGAGUGGCGGACGGGUGACGAAUACAUCGGAUUCUACUUUUUCGUGGGGGAUAACGUAGGGAAACUUACGCUAAUACCGCAUACGACGUACGGGUGAAAGCAGGGGAUCUUCGGACCUUGCGCGAUUGAAUGAGCCGAUGUCGGAUUAGCUAGUUGGCGGGGUAAAGGCCCACCAAGGCGACGAUCCGUAGCUGGUCUGAGAGGAUGAUCAGCCACACUGGAACUGAGACACGGUCCAGACUCCUACGGGAGGCAGCAGUGGGGAAUAUUGGACAAUGGGCGCAAGCCUGAUCCAGCCAUACCGCGUGGGUGAAGAAGGCCUUCGGGUUGUAAAGCCCUUUUGUUGGGAAAGAAAAGCAGCAGGUUAAUACCCCGCUGUUCUGACGGUACCCAAAGAAUAAGCACCGGCUAACUUCGUG
rnacentral:rRNA from 1 species